rnacentral:sRNA from 1 species
CGCGCUGCCCUGCCCGCGACUCCGGUGCGAAGGAUCAGCUGGCCGUCGGAGGCAUCCAUGGUCCACAACGCGUCGCUCACACGACGACUGUAUUCAGACGAUCUGUCGG